UACGUAGGGUGCAAGCGUUGUCCGGAAUUAUUGGGCGUAAAGGGCGCGUAGGCGGCAUGGCAAGUGGAUGGUGAAAUCCCUCGGCUUAACCGAGGAACUGCCGUCCAAACUGCUUCGCUUGAGACCGGGAGAGGUGAGUGGAAUUCCCAGUGUAGCGGUGAAAUGCGUAGAUAUUGGGAGGAACACCAGUGGCGAAGGCGGCUCACUGGACCGGUACUGACGCUGAUGCGCGAAAGCGUGGGGAGCAAACGGGG
rnacentral:rRNA from 1 species